rnacentral:lncRNA from 1 species
UCGUGCAGUAAACACAUCAUAUAUUCUCGCUCUACAGAAUCAAUAGCUGAAGUACAAAAAGAUGUAAAAACAAAAGUAACACCAAACAGAUAACCCUCAUGUCCUGAAGCAAUUAAUAGAACCUUCAGUGCCACCAUAUCUCAUUUGAAUACAAUAAAAAAACGACCAGUCAUUGGAAUCAUACCUCAAUUCAAGUCUAUAGACUCUCCACUCUCUUCUUCUUUCUCCUUCUCUUUAUCCUCUUCUUCUUUCUCCUCUUCUGUCUUCUCAACAGACUCAUCACCUACCAAAAAUGAGAAAGGAGCAGUUAUCAUGGUUGAAUAAGUCUGAAGAGAAAGGAUCAAUCAAAGAGAAAUAAUAUUAGCAAACUGUGUUUCUGAAUCCAAACAAUCUAAACAAGUACUCAGUUAAGAGAAUAAAACUAACGUAUGAAAGUUUACAAGUACUCAGUUAUGACUAUAAGAUAGAAACUCAGAGAGACCUCAUGAGUAUACAUCAGCAACUCAGAAUGAAGCUAAACCCACAACAAAACUUAAAACGAUACAUAUGAAGUAACUCAGGAAACCCAAGUAAGCAAGCACAUUACCAUAAACAUGAGUACAAAAACCAAAUAGACUAACUGCAACUAAGCAAAUGCGUUGCAUUUUAUCAGGCAGUGCUGCAGAUACCUGAACCAAGAUAACAUUUAGUUUGUUGAAAGACGCUUCAUUACCCGAGAGCUGAAAGACGCUUCAUUAUCCGAGAGCUGCAAGGAAACAUCAUUGACAAAGGAGUUAGCAUAACCCUCCAAUUAUAUACAGAGAACAACUCAACGCAUUCAAAAGUCUAUACCGUUACAACGAACAGUUUUAAUUGACACUUCGAAAAAAAACAGAACCAGUCCAGGAAGCAUUGGUGAUUAAUAAGAGCAAAUAAAAUAUGCCAAACGUUUUACAAGCAAUAACCACUCUAAAUAAGCAUAUGCACUACACCAAAAUCUCUCUAAAAGAAAUGAGACAACAACUAGGUUAAUGCAUAACACUCAUUGAUCAGGACUCUAAACACAAAUAUUCAGAGAGCCAAUUUCAUAUCCGAUGAGAAUAUGCGUAUAAUCAACAGAUACAAGAGCCUCACAACUAGAUUGUUAGCAGUUUUACUGUUUCCACAACAGAUACAAACCCACAACAGAGAAUCAUGAAACGAGAUAAGAUAAGGAACUUGACUAACUACAUCAUCAUAAACAAAACGAGAUUCAUCACAAAACUCACAACAGAGAAUCAUGAAACGAGAUCCAUCAUCACACAACUAAAACUCAAAGUUAUAGAAACAUAAGACCAAAGCUAAAACUCAAGAAUCUUGCCUGAAAUUGCGAGAAGAAGAAGUCACACGCCAGAGAAGAUGAAUCCAGAAGAAG